GACGAACGCUGGCGGCGUGCCUAACACAUGCAAGUCGAGCGAAUGAAGUUCCUUCGGGAAUGGAUUUAGCGGCGGACGGGUGAGUAACACGUGGGCAACCUGCCUCAUAGAGGGGAAUAGCCUUCCGAAAGGGAGAUUAAUACCGCAUAAGAUUGCAGUAUCGCAUGAUACAGCAAUUAAAGGAGCAAUCCGCUAUGAGAUGGGCCCGCGGCGCAUUAGCUAGUUGGUGAGGUAACGGCUUACCAAGGCGUCGAUGGGUAGCCGGCACGAGAGGGUGAUCGGCCACAUUGGGAAUGAGAUAAGGCGGAGAAUACUAAGGGAGGAAGAAGUGGGGAAUAUUGUACAAUGGGCGGAAGCCUGAUGCAGCAACGCUGCGUGAGGGAUGACGUCCUUUGGGUUGUAAACAGCUUUGGCCUGUGACGAAGCGUGAGUGACGGUAAUGGGUAAAGAAGCACCGGCUAACUACGUG
rnacentral:rRNA from 1 species